CACCAUAGUAUUAGUGUCAUGUCACAGCCAAUGCCAGAGAGAAUAUAUAAUUAAUUGAUGCUUUUUGCUGAGAGGAACACUUGCUCUACAAGUCAGCACCAGACACAAAGAGAAAGAGGAGGAAGCAGAGAAUGAGCAGAGGGAGAGAGAACGAGAGCUAAAACAGCAGAAAAUCCCAUUUUAGCUUUGAUCGCACUAAGCUCAGCCACUUGUCUCCUCUCUCUCCCUAUUUUAACAGAAUAGAAAGGAAGAGUGAGUGGCUGCAAGCAGAUAUACCAAUGUUUUAUUGAGACCAGGGAUAAAAACGGUGACAUCCAUCUCCGGUUGUGCCUGGAAUUUUUGCUCAAUUGUAUUCUUGUCUUUAGUCAAAGGGUUUUGAGGUCUCUAAGAUGCACUGGAUUUAUUUUUUGAUAUGCAGUAGGUGGAAGCAUGCUUAUAUUUGGGAUGUUGGUAGCAUCCCUCUCCUAUCUCCUAGAUUGAAGAUUUUGUUGAAUGCGCUCACAAAUUCCAAACUGAUCUGAGCUACUGAUGUGUUUGGAUGUCUUUUGAAGUCAACUCUGAGGCAAACCCUAAAUUCUUUUCAGGUGCCACUCUUUGUCUCAACAUAUUGGGUGUUGCUUGCAUUGUAAAGGAAAUUAAGUUCACAUGGGGCUAUGAAGAAAAUCUGGUCCAAACAAAGAUUCCAGAGAGCUGGGCACACUAACUGGAUGUUUGGAAGACUUGCUCAUGUGAAGUUUUUCGCUUGUGCAGGAAGCAAAGCAAUGAAGCAGACAACACAGAUGAUGAGAAUGGAGAAACCCAGGUCUCCAUGGAAACAAAAGAAAGGUCUAGGGCCCCACAGGCUCAAGCAAUUAGGAGUCAGUUUUCAGGUGGUGCAAAGACAAUGAUUGCUCGUAAUUGCCCCAUAGUGGAGAGAGAGAUUUUGGCUCUGGGUUCAAGAGCCCCAAGCCUACAAGGCCCCUUCCAGUCUGGCAGGAAAGCAAAUGCUGGGUGUGUUCAGAGCCCCCCAGUCAGACAUCUGGGUGUGGAAGCUCUUGUGCGGGCCUCUCAGAUCAGUGUGUACUACCCAGCAGUGGAGUCUGAGGAAAUGAAAAAGCAUCCUAUUAUUCUGAAGAUUCUGAAGGUUCAAGUAAAGUGAUUAAGAACAAUGUGGCAUUCAAAGGGUCUAUCUUUAAGGAGAGAGCCUCCUCACUGGAGGAUCGUCCCAGUUAUGCUCAUAACAAAUAUGCUCAGAAGAGCUUCAGUGGAUCAAGAAACAUCUUUCACUACAAAGCAUCUUGCUGAACCAGAGCAGACCAAUGCACCCAGAAAGACCAAUGCCCAAAAGGGCAUCUCAAAAGUCCUCUGUUCACCAAGAAGUGAUUUGAGCACUUCAAAGCCUCCAAGUCAUCAUUCUACUUCCACAUUCCCAAAGUCAUUUAAGGGAAGAGAAAAAAAAGCACUCCCCAUCAUCCCUACCAAACUGAUCCCUAUCAUUGUAACAGAAGAUAAGCCAAACAAAUAAAGCAGAAAAAAAGAAAGAAGUAAUUUGGGGCAAUCAAUGUCUCAGAGCAAGAGGACUCCUCUGAUGAUUCCUCCAUAUGUGCAGAAGAGGACAAAAGAGUGGGCCCAAUAUGAACUUCCCCUGGCUCUGAGGUGACAAUGGAGUGCAUCAUUGAAGAAAAACCUUUCUCAAGGCAAGACUGCUUAGCUCCCUCUUUAGCCCAUUUAACAUUGUAAAUGACCAAAAGCCCUAGAAGAAAUGCUUUCUGUCACAGAAACUUAGUUACUUCUGGUAAUACUUAAUGGUAAAAUUGCCUGUCUGCAUCGUAUCACCUCAUGCUUUCUUCCAAUGUGUCACAGACUUUAAAUCAGAGCCAAUACAAUAUCACAUUUUUAGGUUGCUAAUUAGGAAUUCAAUUGUUAAUUAAGAAUUUUUCCUUUCUGAAGUCUACCACAGCCCGUUUAAAACACAGACCUUGAUAGUGCCAUUUAACCUCCCCACUGGUUUGAUUGAUAAAAAUGAUCUCUUUCCUAAUUGUUUUUCUUAUAUUUGAUCUCUUUUGCUCAAUGUUUCAACAGCAUGGAAUUUUAUUGACUAAGUAGCCAAAUAUAAUAAAAACAAUAAAACAAAGUUAGUCGUAGUACUAAUAACAUCAAAUGUUAUGUAUAUGCACACAAUAUCAGGACCCAGAUAGAGACAUGCAUGUUCCUCUCUGGUAAAGCUGCAGCUGAUUCUCUGAGGGUUUCUGCUAUGCUACACAGUGUAUUUAUAAUGUCUCUUGUUCCUUUAAGUAAUUGCAGCCUGUUUUCAUUUCCAACUACAUGAUAAAUGUGUCAUAAUAGUCAGGAAACAUUUUGAGUGAACUUAUAGAUUUAUAGAUUAGUGAAAUUGCAUAUUUUACAGUAUAAGUAAAAUUUAUACUGUAUAUGGUGUAUUAUAUUUCCAGUUCUUAGUCUACAAAUCUGUUGAAGUAUAUUACUAAUGUAUCUAAAGUGAUCUAAAUUACUAAUGUAUUUACAGUGAAAUAUAAUAAAAUCAUUCAUUGUUGUAUUAACUAUGAAAAAUGGUCAGUGAAGAAUUUCUGGAAUUUUCCAUGUAUAUACAGUGCACGCAUACAGUGGCCUUAAUAGUGCCUCCUUCAGUAUAAGAGGAACUGUUUUGUUUGGGUCAGAGAGCAAAGCUUUACUCAAUCUGUGGUUACUUAGUGCUCUCUCUCUCACCACCAAUUGCUCAUAUUCAUCACCCAUGACCUUCACGAAUAUCUCUACUUUAUUUCCUAGUCCUGAUAACAUCCAUCUUAAUUUAAAGGGGAAACUUUUAAACACAGUGGCAGUGUAGGCCACAGUUAUGGUGUUGAAAGGGAUAAAUAAGCAUACUGUAGUCUAUCUACAGUCCUCUCCAAAACUAUUGGAAUGGCAAGGCCAAUUCAUUGGUUUGUGCUAAUCACCAAAGACGAUGAGAGUUUAGGAUUUCAGCUUUUAAUUUUUGGUAUUUACAUAGAUGUGUUGAACAAUAUAAAACAUAGAAGCUUUGGUAUCAGACCAACCAACUUUUAGGUUAGCGAAAGUAUUCCAAGAUUUUCCCUGAUUGGAAAAAGAAUUUUG
ensembl:lncRNA